GAGGGAAAGAUUAUCAUCAUCUUCAGAGAGAUGCCAUUUUGGCUCUCUUCUUUUCUUCUUUCUGCAACCCACGCACAGACACACCCUAAAUCGCACACGCACAUACACACAAAACUCGGGGGAGAGAGAAACGUGGAGAUUAACCAAAAGAGAGAAGAGAUUCGAGAGCGGUAGAGAAAGAUCUGUGUGAGGAAGAAAACGAAUCAAGAGAGAGUGCUGGCCGGAGGAGCUGAAAUCAAUGAAAAGAUCGAGAAUAGUGAGUGGUUUGAAUGAGGGAAAACUGGCAGAUUUGACUGCUUUCCAUCGUGCUCCAUUUUGAUUUGAGGUUUCGAUGAGGUCCCGUUCGUGAGCUCCAAUCCACCGUAAGUUGUCAAAAUAAAGUCAUUAACUGAGGUCAAUUCAUCUUUUGUUCCUAUUUUUUGUGAAUGUUUUUUAAUAGUGUGAUUUUGGUUGAUUCUGAUUGGAGCAAUUUCACUCAUUAUUUAAUUGUCCAUCUUGUUGCAAAGUAUGUUAAUCACGUAGUUUGAUUUGGGGUUAAGUUGGAUUAUGGGGAAAGAAAUCGAAAAAUUGAUAAAGUAAAUAUUGUUGCAUUUUGAUUCAUUAUUGUUGAUUGCUUAAUUUGGAAUAGAUAUCGAUUUUGAAUAACUUCGAUAAUACAAUGUUUAGGCCAAAAAUUGAUUGGCAAAGUAGGUCGGGUAGGAAAAUUUAGGACUAUUGAAAUAUUGAAUGCUUGAAAUAUGUGUUGAAUGGAUUAGUUUGGUUGUUUUUUUUUUAGAUCAAGUGUAUCAUUUGGCUGAGCAAUGCCCCGGAGUAUUUAUGUUUAUUCGCGGGGGAAUGCCCUGAAGUAUUCUUUACUUGAAGGAUGUUCAUGAUCAAGGUACGAGGCAUCGGGUAGAGCAUGAAACCACAAUUUAGGAUUAGUAUAGGUUAGAGUAGGAUUUAUAUUUUUCGCAAUUUUGUUAUUUUGGAUUGUAUAAUUGGAC
rnacentral:lncRNA from 1 species